UGGUGGAGUGAUUUGUCUGCUUAAUUGCGUUAACGAACGAGACCUCGACCUACUAAAUAGUUCGGCGAACGGUUCGCCCGUUCGUGCGAUACUUCUUAGAGGGACUAUUGGUUCGAAACCAAUGGAAGUUCGAGGCAAUAACA
rnacentral:rRNA from 1 species